CAAACUAUUGUAUUUACUGGCGAUUGCGAAACAUUAAUCCCCCAAUAAAGGGGGAAAAAAGUUAAAAGGGAGAGAAUGAGAAAGGAAAGAAAGGAAAAGAGGGGAGGGAAAAGGAGAAGGGGGAAGGGAGAGAGGGGAGGGGACUGGGGGAAGGAAAGGGGAGCGAGAGAGGGCCGGCAGGUGUUUCUCUGACAUCAGAAUGGGAUAGAGGGUGCGGCCAGCAUUCCCUGGGAGUCCUGGACACACAGCAGAGGCCGUGCCCGCGUCCCUGGACCGCAGCAUCCCAAGCAGCGGGCGGGGUGAGGUUCCCCGAGUUCCUAGAAACGGGGCGACGCCACUGGAUCCCCGCAGCCGCCCCUCCACCCCCGACCCCAGUGCCGGGCUUUCCGAACUGUCCAGGCCGAGCUCAAGGAUGAGACAUCUCUUCAGUCUCCGCCACUGGCAACCAGACAUAGGUCUCACCCUCUGCUUAGGGUAAAGGAUGAGCUUUUUCAAGCCACAUCCAAGAACUCCAAAGAGAGGAGGACGGACGGGGGCACUGAAAGGACGUGAGGCCCCGGAAUGCUAUAGUGGCGGAAGAUGAUAACUUGGUGAUGGGUAAAGUGUGCUGACACCUUGAGGAGACGUCCUCUAUGACAACAGUCAGCAAUCUGGCCCUGCAGAAGUUUUCUCACCAAGGGAGAUGGAACACACAGAACUUGUAUACUAGAGAUGCCCAGGGUCAACAACAACCAGGUCUGACUGGUCUUCUGGUCCAAAUGGAGAUAAAACACAAUCACCUCAAGUUCAAUUCAUGUUGUUAAAGAGGACAAAAUUCCAUCUGAUUUAACCUAAAUAUUUAAUGAGACAAUCAGAGCAUCAUCCCAGCACAUGAAAUGUUGGUGACUGAUCUCAAGACUUCGUGCCUCCAAGACAAAUGCUCCAGCUACUCUGCCACUUCCCAGACUGCAAGAUUUCAUCUUUAGUAGAACAGUAGUAGACCACUGAGCAAAUAUACAUUUCUUUUUUUUCACUCACUUCUGACUGGGCACCUAAGUUAUCAUGUUAUGGUUAUUGCAAAUAAGGAUACUGUGAAAAGGUACUCUUUGAAUGUUCCCCAUCACACUUCUGCUUCCUCAAACCCUUAACUUUAACAAGUACGUACACAUAGUACGUGCCCAUACUACUAUUUGUGCUGGGGAUUCAACAAUAAACAAAAUAGAAAGA